rnacentral:rRNA from 1 species
UAAAAUGAGAGCUUCGGCAGGAUUUUUAUUUAUCUUAGUGGCGGACGGGUGAGUAACGUGUGGGCAACCUGCCCUAUACUGGGGAAUAAUCACUGGAAACGGUGACUAAUACCGCAUGUCAUUACGGAAGGGCAUCCUUCUGUAAGAAAAGGAGUAAUUCGGUAUAGGAUGGGCCCGCAUCUGAUUAGCUAGUUGGUGAGAUAACAGCCCACCAAGGCGACGAUCAGUAGCCGACCUGAGAGGGUGAUCGGCCACAUUGGGACUGAGACACGGCCCAAACUCCUACGGGAGGCAGCAGUGGGGAAUAUUGCACAAUGGGGGAAACCCUGAUGCAGCAACGCCGCGUGAAGGAAGAAGGUUUUCGGAUCGUAAACUUCUAUCAACAGGGACGAAGAAAGUGACGGUACCUGAAUAAGAAGCCCCGGCUAACUACGUGCCAGCAGCCGCGGUAAUACGUAGGGGGCAAGCGUUAUCCGGAAUUACUGGGUGUAAAGGGAGCGUAGGCGGCACGCCAAGCCAGAUGUGAAAGCCCGAGGCUUAACCUCGCGGAUUGCAUUUGGAACUGGCGAGCUAGAGUACAGGAGAGGAAAGCGGAAUUCCUAGUGUAGCGGUGAAAUGCGUAGAUAUUAGGAAGAACACCAGUGGCGAAGGCGGCUUUCUGGACUGAAACUGACGCUGA